AUACACAUGGUGAAACGGCAUCAUGCUUAUCUUCCAUUAACCUGUAUGCAAGCGGCCGGGGUUCGACUCCUUGUGUGUGUA
rnacentral:tRNA from 1 species